UGAAAUGAAUUCAUAUACCAUCUUGGCCUACCAUUUCCAGGGUUUUAACCUUUUCAUAAUCACUGUGUCCAAAUUGCAGAAAACCAGCGAAAAAGUCGGCGCAUUCUAUUGGCUUUCCUUAGCUAUUUGCAUAGUAGAGCUUCUCAUUUGCAUCAAGUUUGGACAUGAAGAUGAUAAUUUGAAAGUUGCCACUGUUGGACAGUGCCCUGAAGGUGAUACUGCAACUACUAACAAUUAUGAGUGAUGUGAAAAGCCAGAUAAAAAGCCUGCUAGGCAACGGUUAUUGGUAGUUGCUAAUAGAUUACCAGUCUCUGCUGUAAGGAAAGGUGAAGAUGUAUGGCAUUUAGAGAUUAGUGAUGGGGGUUUAGUCAGUGCUCUUCUGGAUUCAGAUCGCUUUAUACGUGCACUGGAGCUUCCUCAAGUCUAGGAACACAUCAGGGAACUUAAAGAAAGAUUUGCUGGGCGGAAGUUUUAUGGUGCAACAACAUUUUUCAUUCAUAGAUCAGACUUCAGUGUCUCCUUGAUUAUGUUUUAUAUGAAGGCAGAAAGAACAUUUUUAAAGAGAGACUGCCCCAGUCUGAUGCAUCCACAAGUAGUUGUUGCUGAUUCUGAUCUUCAUCUUGAAUUUCUGGUUGUUCAGAUCUCUAACUAAUGGUUGGAGAGAAAGACAGUUAAGAGGAAAAGAGUUUUUGCUCGAACAUAUUGUUCACCUUCUUGCCAAUGACCAAUCACAACUUCGUGUUCUUGAAGAAGCUGAACCCGGCAGGUGCAAAAACAGUACAUUGCAAGAGUUAUUGGGGCAUUUCCCGAGCAUGAGAAAGUUGUAGAUGCCAAUAUAAAUUAUAAUGCCCGGGAAGGAAAGAGCACAACAGAGGUGCUCAACUCCUCUGGUGGCACUUCAGUAAAAGGGAAGGCUGCUUGUACCAAGUUCACUAGAAUUAGUACCAUAAUAUGUUCCUCUAUAUAUGCAGAUUUAUAUAAUUAAAGUCGUGUGUAUUGAAGUUGUUAACAUUAUAUAUAUACAUUUUUUGGAGUAAAGCAUUUGAUGUAAGUUUUUAAAGUAUUUAUUGGACUUUAUUAAAGUGUUCUACUAUAUGAGUUCAAGCUUUUACACCAG